rnacentral:rRNA from 1 species
AACGAACGCUGGCGGCAUGCCUAACACAUGCAAGUCGAACGAGACCUUCGGGUCUAGUGGCGCACGGGUGCGUCACGCGUGGGAACCUGCCCUUAGGUUCGGAAUAACUCCCCGAAAGGGGUGCUAAUACCGGAUAAUGUCUUCGGACCAAAGAUUUAUCGCCUUUGGAUGGGCCCGCGUUGGAUUAGCUAGUUGGUAGGGUAAAAGCCUACCAAGGCGACGAUCCAUAGCUGGUCAGAGAGGAUGAUCAGCAACACUGGGACUGAGACACGGCCCAGACUCCUACGGGAGGCAGCAGUGGGGAAUAGUGGACAGUGGGCGAAAGGAUGAUCCAGCAAUGCCGCGUGAGUGAUGAAGGCCUUAGGGUUGUAAAGCUCUUUUAACCGGGAUGAUAAUGACAGUACCGGGAGAAUAAGCCCCGGCUAACUCCGUG